rnacentral:rRNA from 1 species
GACGAACGCUGGCGGCGUGCUUAACACAUGCAAGUCGAACGGAAAGGCCCUGCUUUUGUGGGGUGCUCGAGUGGCGAACGGGUGAGUAACACGUGAGUAACCUGCCCUUGACUUUGGGAUAACUUCAGGAAACUGGGGCUAAUACCGGAUAGGAGCUCCUGCUGCAUGGUGGGGGUUGGAAAGUUUCGGCGGUUGGGGAUGGACUCGCGGCUUAUCAGCUUGUUGGUGGGGUAGUGGCUUACCAAGGCUUUGAUGGGUAGCCGGCCUGAGAGGGUGACCGGCCACAUUGGGACUGGGAUACGGCCCAGACUCCUACGGGAGGCAGCAGUGGGGAAUAUUGCACAAUGGGCGGAAGCCUGAUGCAGCAACGCCGCGUGCGGGAUGACGGCCUUCGGGUUGUAAACCGCUUUCGCCUGUGACGAAGCGUGAGUGACGGUAAUGGGUAAAGAAGCACCGGCUAACUACGUG